GAAUUCAGGCCGGAGCCAGACCUUCACCCCAUAAAUUCAUUUCGCGGCGCUAUUGAGCCUCUCUUUUUGCUCGGUGGAGUGACACGUGGUGACGUGCUGCCGAUCGCCGUGGAGAAAUUCAAGAUGGCGACGUCGCAACAGCAUGUCCCGAGAGGUUGUGGGGACGGAUCCGAGUGGAGUGGCGGGGGUGUAUCCGCAGGCAAUCGAGUGACUUGAAAUGAUCACCCCAGACGACGCGUGCGUGCCUUGAGACGGGCUUGGGUGAAGAGCAGACGUCGAGAGAUUUGAAAAUGGCAUUUCAACCCUCCCCAUGAAACGUGGUGUUGGGGGGGAGGUCUCGUGGUACCUCGGCAGGCCUGGUGACUGGAGAGAGAGAGGUGACGGGGGAUGUGGACCUCUCCAGCUGUAGGGGCAGAGCUGGCCUGGCCCCCACUAGUCAAGAUGGGGCCCAACACACUCUCUCUCGGGACCAUUCCACUGCAAUAAAAUGUAUUUUGAUGACUCGGGAGCUUGCUUGUUCUGUUUGUGGCCUCAGUUGUGAUUGAGGGAGGAGAACCUUCAUGUUGUAAAUCCUAACUCAAAGCCCCCUGUUCCUAGACUCUACCUUCAAAUUGUGAUGUGUGAGAAUUGAACAAAUUUUAAAAAGGCAGAGCUGUAAAGCAAAAUUAGAGAAGCUACACCUAUGUAAUGCAUUACAAGCACAUUCUAAUUAAUGUGCCUUCCUGUGUAAAGGCACUGGCUGAAUGUUUUUAAUAAAGCCUUUAAGAUCUCGA